AUCGUGACGCUGAGGUGGAUGGGAGACUGCACGAUUUGAGCAGGUUGUGUGAAAUCUGGAACUCCAUUACUUGUACCCCAAGGCAUCUUUUUUAUGCGGAUUUAAGCUGGAAAGCGCCACACCAAGCUGUUAACAGGAACUGCUUCCUGGCACUGAGAUUCCAGGGGCUGCUCGUUCCUUUCUCUGGCUCAUCUGUGUAAGGAAGACUUUCCUCCGUGAGCCUUUCCACCAAGCUCAGGCCUGAGGCUUAGGAGAAAUGUGCGAGAUCCCGACAGCCUCGGAGGGAGUGAGGGGGCUUCGAGACCCUCAGGGCCACCUUAGGGGCCUCUACCAGGGAAGGAGAAAUGAUCUUGUUUCACCGGCCAGGGAGUUGAUUUCCAGACUGAAGCGUACCUGCCACGGAACUUUUACCUCCAUGGGGUGACCUUAGAACUUCUGCUCUGCAAACUGGAAGUGACCUUCAUCCUCCAGGAGGGUAUGUCGAAAGCAUUCCCGCUUGGCCACUUUUACAAGUUAUUUCUGCCUGGGAAGGCACCAACUCAAUUAUCCAGUAGAUAAGAUACGGGGCAACAGGGGAACGCCUGCCUUGCAUACUUGCUCACCCCCGACCUUAUAAAAGUGUCCAUGUUACUGCUCCAAAGGUGAAGCAGCACAUGUAAAGGCAGGACGCGUUGUGUCCCUUCCCCAAGCUACCUUUGGAAUACAUUCACUUUUCUUACACCAGACCUCGCGCUUGUUCAUUGGACUCUGCAUGCGAUGAGCAACUAACCUGCUUUUCAGUUAUGCUUUGGAGCCAUGUUGUUUAGCACUUAGAAAAUAGAGGUGGGUCUGGGCGCGGUGGCUCAUGCCUAUAAUCGCAGCAUUUUGGGAGGCCGAGGUGGGUGGACCACUUGAGGUCAGGAAUUCAAGACCAACCUGGCCAACUUGGUGAAACCCUGUCUCUACUAAAAAUAGAAAAAAUGAGCCCAGCAUGGUGGCACAUCCCUGUAAUCCCAGUUACUCGGGAGGCUGAGGCAUGAGAAUUGCUUGAAUCCGGGAGGUAGAGGUUGCAGUGAGCCGGCAUCACGCCACUGCACUCCAGCCUGGGCCACAGAGUGAGACUCCAUCUCAAAAACAAAAAAAAAAAAAAAAAAAGAAAAAGAAAAUAGAGGGUGUCUGAUAAAAAUGUACCUUCUCUAGUGUGCAGCACAGUAAAUCCAGCACCCCAGAGAUGUCCUGCCUGGCUCCCUGGAACCCGUCUGUGCACAUGAUGAGAUGUCACCUCUGUAAUUAGCUUAGGUUACAUGGCACAAUUAGCCUUAAAAUAGGGAAAUAUUCUGGGUGAGCCUCAUCUAAUCCCAUGAGACCUUAAAAGCAGAGAGCUUUCUCCCACUGGUGGCAGAAGGAGAAGUCAGACUAGAAGCAGAAUUCACAUGCCAUUGUUGACCUGAAGACUGAGGGACAAGGUGGCAAGGAAUGAUAGCAAAUUCUAGAAGCUAACAGCAGCCCCUGGCUGGCAGCCAGCAAGGAAAUGGGAACUUCAUACUGAAUUCUGCCAGUAAUAGAAAUGAGCUUGGAAGAGGACCCUAAAUUCCAGGGGAGGGAUGCAGCUGGACAGAGAACCUAGCCAUGCUGUACUGGUCUCCUGACCUGUGGGACUGUGGCAAAAUAAAUGGAUGUUGUGUUAAAAAGAAAAAACCUAAACACUCAGAAAAAAAGAAAAAUGUUGGCAGUACAAAGAGAUAUUGCCAGAAACACAAAUAUAGUGAGUCUUUAACAUACUAUUUAACAACCUAGAAGAGAUUUAACUUACCAAAAUCAGAGACAUCAGGCCAGACAGGGUGGCUCACGCCUGUAAUCCCAGCACUUUGGGAAGCCAAGUGGGUGGAUCACUUAAGGCCAGGAGUUCAAGACAAACCUGACCAACGUGGUGAAACCCCAUCUCUACUGAAAAUACAAAAGUUAUCCGGGUGUGGUGGCAUGCACCUGUAAUCCCAGCUCCUUGGGAGGCUAAGGCAGAAGAAUCUCUUGAACCCGGGAGGCAGAGGUUGCAGUGAGCCUAGAUUCCACCACUGCACUCCAGCCUGGCCUGGACAACAGAGCAAGACUCUCUCAAAAAAAAUAAAAAUGAAAAUAAACCAAAGACAUCAAAGACCCAAACAAUACCAUGAGUAGUUUGAAUCAAAGAUCUGUAUCAAAUUCUGUACCACACACAGCUUGUAUCUUCUUUUUGCAUAUGAAACCUUUACCAUGUAUGUGUAUUAGAAGGAAAGACAACAUCAACUAUCCCCCAAGGCAGAAAUUAAACAGGCCAAACUCUAUGUCCACAAUAUACGGUAAAUCAGAAAUUACCCACAAAAUUAAACCAAACAAGAACAAUGACAAAAAUCCUAGCCUGUUUCUUAAAUAACUGUUGAGUCAAAGAGAAAGUAAAAACUAUAAUGGUUCAUUGUUUUGAAAUCGGGAAGACCACAUAAUUAUAUUUAAGGGAAUAAUGUCAGUUUACCUCAUUUUGACUUCAAGGGGUGUUACGUGUCAGGCCUUGGGCUUAAGGCUGUAGCUGCUGAACAUUGCCCAAUUUAACAACUAUAAAUGCAUUCAUUAUUGUAAAAAUAAAAAUAAAAACAAGUGAACUAAUGUUUCAACUCAACAUUGCACGAGAAGAAUUUUAUUUUUAUUUAUUUAUUUUUUUGAAACAGGGUCUCACUCCAUUGCCCAGGCUGGAGUGCAGUGGCACCAUCUUGGCUCACUGCAACCUCUGCCUUCCAGGCUGAAGAGCUCCUCCCACCUCAGCCUCCCCAGUGGCUGGGACUAUAGGCACGCCCUCCAGGCCUAGCUAAUUUUUAUAUUUUCGGUAGAGAUAGGGUUUUGCGAUGUUGCCCAGGCUGGUCUCAGUCUCCUGAGCUCAAUUCAUCUGUCCACCUCAGCCUCCCAAAGUGCUGAGACUACAGGCACGAGCCAGCACGCUGGGCCAGAAAAGAACUUUAUUUAUUUAUUUUUUUUUGAGACGGAGUCUUGCUCUGUCACCCAAGCUGGAGUGCAGUGGUGUGAUCUUGGCUCACUGCAACGUCCUCCGCCUCCUGGGUUCAAGUGAUUCCCCUGUCUCAGCCUCCUGAGUAGCUGGGAUUACAGGCACCUGCCACCACACCCAGCUAAUUUUUGUAUUUUUAGUAGAGACAGGGUUUCGCCAUGUUGGCCGGGCUGGUCUUGAACUCCUGACCUCAGGUGAUCUGCCCGCCUCGGACUCCCAAAGUGCUGGGAUUACAGGUGUGAGCCACCACGACCAGCCCAGAAAAGAACUUUAAAGCAGAGUAAAACAAAACCAGAAAAAAGAAAUAAUAAAGACAUAAGAGAGAUGAGUCAAAUUUAAUGAAUUUGAAAGGAGUAGAUAAAUUGUCGGUUAUUUUUUUAAAAAAGCAUUAAAAUAGCUAAACCUAUGCCAAAUUUAAUGAAAGACAAGUGUAAUUAGCAAGUUAAUUAAAUGCAGUUUAAAGUGUAAAAGUAUAAGAAUUAUAAUUCAUAUAUGAAUAGAUUUUUAAUUUUUUAUUCUUAAAAUUAAUUUUUUUUUUUUACAGAGUCCUGCUCUGUCGAACCAGGCUGGAGGGCAGUGGAGCGAUCAUAGCACACUGUAGCCUUGACCUCCUGGGCUCAAGCGAUCCUCUUGCCUCAGCCUCCUGGGUAGCUAGGACUACAGGCAUGUGGUACCACACCCUGCCAUGAGUAGAUUUUAAAUCUUGUUGAAAAGUAUGUGGCCUGAGCAACAUGGAAAAACCCCAUCUCUACUAAAAAUACAAAUAUUGGCCAGGCAUUGUAGCAUGCACCUGUAGUCUCAGCUACCUGGGAGGCUGAGGCAGGAGAAUUGCUUAAACCCGGGAGGCAGAGGUUGCAGUGAGCCGAGAUUGUGCCACUGUACUCCAGCCUUGGUGACAUAGUGAGAUUCUGUCUCAAAAAAAAAAGAAAAGUAUGGUUCAAAUAAACAAAAGGAAUAGAGUCAAAAAGAAAGGAAGCCAGGUGUGGCACACACCUGUACUCCCAUCUAUUAGGGAGGCUAAGGUAGGAGGCUCACUUGAGCCCAGGAAUUCAAAGCUGCAGUGAGCUGUGACCAUCGCACUGCACUCCAGCCUGUGCGACAGAGCCAGACCCUGUCUCUAAAAAUAAAGAAAACCCAUAUGCUCUCAUAAUCCAGGAACAAUUGGAAAGAGUUAUCAGUCACCUUCCCAGAGUCUCUGGAGACCAUUUGGGCAGUAAGUUCUUUCAGGCAGUAAGGUCUUUCAAACUCCCAAGAAACAACUAGUUCUAGCCUAUGAGCCCAUUUUUGCCAUGGCAAAAAAUGACAAGCUCUCCAAUUCAUUGUAUGAAAUUAAUAUAACACUGAUCCCAAAGCCAGCAAAUAGAGCACAGUUAAAUUACCCCUGAAUCCCACAAACUGCAUUGUAGCCAGAAGCCGCCUUGCUAUCCUGGUCUCAUAGCUUUCAGGUAUUUGGCUCCUCAUUUGUUCCUAAAUCCUACUGACAGGGACAUGAGGCGGGAAAAAAAAAAAAAAAAAGAAUCUGCCAAAGAUGGCCGGACUUCAGGGGAAGAUUACCUACCCCACAUCCCCCUUAACAGCUCCCCUUCCCACUGAAAGCCUUUUUUUUUUUUUUUUUUUUUUUUUUGAGAAGGAGUUUCACUCUGUCGCCCAGGCUGGAGUGCAGUGACACAUGCCCUCCAGGCCCAGCUAAUUUUUGUAUUUUCGGCUCACUGCAACCUCUGCCUCCCAGGUUCAAGCAAUUCUCCUGCCUCAGCCUCCCGAGUAGCGGGGACUACAGGCACGCGCCACCACACCCAGCUAAUUUUUGUAUUUUUAGUGGAGAUGGGGUUUCACCAUGUUGGCCAGGAUGGUCUCCAUCUCUUGACCUCGUGAUCCGCCCGCCUCAGCCUCCCAACGUGCUGGGAUUACAGGUGUGAGCCACGGUGCCCAAACCGAGCCAUUUUCAUUGGCAAUAAAAUCUCCCACAUUUACUAUCCUUCAAUUCGUUCGUGUGACCUCAUUUUUCCUGGAUGCCGGACAAGAGCUUAGGAGCCACAAGUGUGGAUACGAAAGGCUGUCACACUGGCCCUUCGCCCUCGCUAGCAGAGGGCAGCCAUGGGCCCACUGAGAGCUGUUAACACUUAAGCCGUCCGUGGACAGCAGAGCUAAAAGAGCACUCUAACAUGGCCUCCGGGGCCCCGGGAGUCGCAGGCACCCUGCCUGGACGCUGUUGUGGGGCCUGAACGAAGUUCACUGCUGCCGGCGCCCAAAAGCGCUCGCUCCAGCUCCUGCACCUGCUCAACUGUGUGCUCCCUUUCACGAGGGUCGGAAUGCGGUGGAUCUGAGAGAGUGGAGUCUGAUCCCGCCCGCACUGAAACAGCUGGCUGGUUCCAGCACUCCUGCGCUCCAGUUCCCGCCUCGUUUGCUGUGUGCUCCCUCCCACCAGCAGUUGAGAGCAGUGGGCUAAGUAAACUAGGCACCCCUGUCCAAAGUCCUGAGAAGGGCUCAAGGAACUAUCCUGCUUCACUAUUGAUCAGUGGUCUCCCUGUCAGGGGCAGAUCCGGCCUUCUCUUCUCAAAUUAUCCUGGGUGAUAAUACCCAUUGGGUUUGUCUCCUGGGUGAUUCCCUCCACGGCUGAACCUCACCCACUACCUUCUCGUCAGUGUCAUUGACUCUGCACACAGGUUACUGUUGCUCACCCACCACUGGUGCCUCUGACCCUUCUAGGACCAUCUAGGUUCCCCCUGAGUAACUCAGGGGCAUUGCUGACCAGCUGUGGACCAGAAGGCUCCCUUAGGGCACGUGCUGCAUGGUAGGGCUAACUGUGGCUGUCCCCCAAGACCUGUGGGGUCAGGCCCUUCCCUCUGAUGUUGGGGUUGGGGACCUUGCAGCGGAGUCAGAGGGAGAAGCUUCGUGUUCCCUCCACCCCAGGAUCCUCCACCGAAGUAAGUAAUUUGACACAGAGGAAACCAGAUGCACAAAAAUUAAAAGGAUAAACCGUAAUUCAGCUAAAAUACCCAAGGGUUGAAAUUGCCAAAG
rnacentral:lncRNA from 1 species